rnacentral:rRNA from 1 species
AUUGAACGCUGGCGGCAGGCCUAACACAUGCAAGUCGAGCGAGCGGCGGACGGGUGAGUAAUGUCUGGGAAACUGCCUGAUGGAGGGGGAUAACUACUGGAAACGGUAGCUAAUACCGCAUACCAUCAGAUGUGCCCAGAUGGGAUUAGCUAGUAGGUGGGGUAACGGCUCACCUAGGCGACGAUCCCUAGCUGGUCUGAGAGGAUGACCCGCCAAACGGGAACGGAGACACGGUCAAGAAGCUUACGGGGGGCAGCGUGGGGGAAUAUGGCACAAUGGGCGAAAGCCGGAUGCAGCCAUGCGGCGUGUGUGAAGAAGGCCUUCGGGUUGUAAAGCACUUUCAGCGGGGAGGCGUUACCCGCAGAAGAAGCACCGGCUAACUCCGUGCCAGCAGCCGCGGUAUAC